CGUGUAGGCGGCCUGAUGUGUCAGAUGUGAAAGCCCUGGGCUUAACCCAGGAAGUGCAUUUGAAACUGUCAGGCUUGAGUAGGGGAGAGGGAAGUGGAAUUCCUGGUGUAGAGGUGAAAUUCGUAGAUAUCAGGAGGAACACCGGUGGCGAAGGCGACUUCCUGGCCCUAUACUGACGCUGAGACGCGAGAGCGUGGGUAGCAAACAGGAUUAGAUACCCUGGUAGUCCACGCCGUAAACGAUGUUCACUAGGUGUUGGGGGUAUUGACCCCCUCAGUGCCGGAGCUAACGCAUUAAGUGAACCGCCUGGGGAGUACGGUCGCAAGACUAAA
rnacentral:rRNA from 1 species